AUUGAACGCUGGCGGCAUGCUUUACACAUGCAAGUCGAACGGUAACAGGUUAAGCUGACGAGUGGCGAACGGGUGAGUAAUGCAUCGGAACGUGCCCGGUCGUGGGGGAUAACGCAGCGAAAGUUGCGCUAAUACCGCAUACGAUCUGAGGAUGAAAGCGGGGGACCGUAAGGCCUCGCGCGAUCGGAGCGGCCGAUGUCAGAUCAGGUAGUUGGUGGGGUAAAGGCUCACCAAGCAAACGAUCUGUAGCUGGUCUGAGAGGACGCCCAGCCACACUGGGACUGAGACACGGCCCAGACUCCUACGGGAGGCAGCGGUGGGGAAUUUUGGACAAUGGGAGAAAGCCUGAUCCAGAAAUGACGCGUGCAGGAAGAAGGCCUUCGGGUUGUAAACUGCUUUUGUACGGGGCAAAAAGGUCUCCUCUAAUACAGGGGGCUCAUGACGGUACCGUAAGAAUAAGCACCGGCUAACUACGUGCCAGCCGCCGCAGUAA
rnacentral:rRNA from 1 species